GAAAUGCGAUAAGUAAUGUGAAUUGCAGAAUUCAGUGAAUCAUCGAAUCUUUGAACGCACAUUGCGCCCGCCAGCACUCUGGCGGGCAUGCCUGGUCGAGCGUCAUUUCAACCCUCAGAACCCCUUGCGGGAUCUGGCGUUGGGGAUUGGCAUCCAGCCAGCCCCGAAAUCUAGUGGCGGUCCCUCCGCGACCUCCCCUGUGCAGUAGCGAUACCUCGCAGCGGGACAGCGGUCUGACCACGCCGUAAAACCCCCAACUUCUCAAGGUUGACCUCGAAUCAGGUAGGAAUACCCGCUGAACUUAAGC
rnacentral:misc_RNA from 1 species